rnacentral:rRNA from 1 species
UCGCCUGGUUUUAUCAAAACAUCGCCUCUUGCAAAGCUGAAAAAUAAGAGGUCCCGCCUGCCCUGUGACUAUAAGUUUAACGGCCGCGGUAUUUUGACCGUGCGAAGGUAGCGCAAUCACUUGUCUUUUAAAUGGAGACCUGUAUGAAUGGCACAACGAGGGCUUAGCUGUCUCCUUUUUCAAGUCAAUGAAAUUGAUCUCCCCGUGCAGAAGCGGGGAUAAAACCAUAAGACGAGAAGACCCUAUGGAGCUUUAGACACCCAGGCAGAUCAUGUUAAACACUCCUAAAUAAAGGAUUAAACCAGAUGAACCCUGCCCUAAUGUCUUUGGUUGGGGCGACCGCGGGGAAACAAAAAACCCCCACGUGGAAUGGGAAUACUCCUCCUACAACUAAGAGCUCCUGCUCUAACAAACAGAAUUUCUGACCAAUAAGAUCCGGCAACGCCGAUCAACGGACCGAGUUACCCUAGGGAUAACAGCGCAAUCCCCUUUUAGAGCCCAUAUCGACAAGGGGGUUUACGACCUCGAUGUUGGAUCAGGACAUCCUAAUGGUGCAGCCGCUAUUAAGG